rnacentral:rRNA from 1 species
UACAGAGGGGGCGAAGCGUUAUUCGGAAUUAUUGGGCGUAAAGGGCGCGUAGGCGGCAUGGCAAGUGGAUGGUGAAAUCCCUCGGCUUAACCGAGGAACUGCCGUCCAAACUGCUUCGCUUGAGACCGGGAGAGGUGAGUGGAAUUCCCAGUGUAGCGGUGAAAUGCGUAGAUAUCGAGAGGAACACCAGUGGCGAAGGCGAGUCCCUGGACACUUCCUGACACUGAGGCACGAAAGCUAGGGGAGCAAACAGG